rnacentral:lncRNA from 1 species
CCGGCUAGUAUCGCGAGAUCAGGAAGGUGGCCGAGUGUGUCGCCGCGGCCAUCAGGCACUUCUCCUUCCUGCCCUUGUAUGAAGAAGGAUGUGUUUGCUUCCCCUUGUGCCAUGAUUGUAAAUUUCCUGAGGCCUCCUCAGCCCUGCAGAACUGGGGUUAUAGCCAUGUGACUGAUCUUCGUCCAAGAAUAUGUAAAGAAAAAGUGUUGAGUUGGCUUUUAGGGCUAGAGCAAUGUAUCUUAGGCUCACUUAAGGAAGCUGUAGAGAUGAGCCCAAGGAGGGAAACCAGAAGAGCCCCCCAGGCUCACCAGUUGUUUGUUGGCUCCCUACAAACAUGUCAUUCAAGUGGCUAAUCUUACAACAGCACAAAUUCAUCUAACCAGAAAGAGAAGAGGAGGCUCCAAAGGCACUUGACUACUGAGCAUCACCCUGGACGUGUACAAGUCUGCGUCCUUAUUGUUUUCUUCAUUGGGCCGAACUUUCUGGUCCUCAUCCAACAGCUCUUCUAUCACGUGUUCGAAAGUGUCAGCCAAUGAUGUCAAGCCUCUUGAACCUGCCUUGGGCCCAUUCACGCUCUCCAGAGUCCCAUGGGUCCGCACACCUGGAGAUACUCUAUUAUAGCAAAGAAGAAAGAUAAUUUCAUUGAGCCAUCCUGUUUUACAGUAUUGAAUUAUUACCACAAGGUACCAACCAUAUAUGCAUACUUAAUAGGGUAUUUUGUCAAAACUAUGCAUGAAGGUCAUUUGUUUGAGAUGUCAGAACAUUUUCCCGUGAGAAGAUCUCAUUGGGCAUUGAAACAGAACCACAUGCUCUUCAGACCAGCAACCGCGACUACCAAAUACUCCUCUGUCAACUCUACUUGACACCCAACAGAAUCCCUUCAAAGCCUCGUGGUCUGACACCCUAUGCUACGUGACUUGUGACCCAUCCAUUUGUCAUGUUCUUCGGGAAUGUGGCUAAGGGGCUAAGAUGUGACUUGAAAAGAAAGGUAGAACAAGAUCAUCUCAAAUUUAUUAUCAAGGAAUAGUUCAGAAAACGACUUCAGACCACAGAGACAGCAGAACAGAUGGUCCGGCAUGGAUAGAGCAUCAGACACUCACAGACUGUGCCAACAAGAGCCAUCGAGUCAAAACAGCCAAAGGAAGGAGGGUCAUGGAAUGGGUUCUCUCACACCAAACUGAUGCCCAGAGGCCCUCAGCAUGAAUAACAAAGGCAACCAGACCCACAAGCCAUACUGAGUGGAUACAAAACCUAUACCUAGGCUGACAUCCCAAAUGUGUGUGGCAAGUUAGAUGAUGAUGGCACAAAAGACAGAACACCUUGCUUCUGGCCAUUGUCAGCUCUUGGAAGAGAGCACACUUUUAGAGGAGCAGCUGCAAGGAGCCUGAGAACAAAACUGGAAAUGUCUGUUAUGAAAGCCUUCACAGGAAAUUCUGCAAGUGGCAACGUGGGUCCAUUCCGUGUGUGUCACUAGAGCUGGCGCAAGCCCAUGGCCAUGGUGAGGCAGCGUUUCCACUGGAACUAAUCUGAUACCUGCACCAGCUCUUGCAACUGUGCAGUGUUCCCACUGCAAACUACGGAUGGGGUAAAAGACUGCUCACCUCCUAUUUCUCAUCUAAUCUCACACACUCUGUUUGAUGAGGCUAUGGAGAAACAGGUCUUCUCAUACACUAAAGGUGGGAGUACAAACAAUUCAAGCCCUGUGCAGGACAAUUAGGCAAUACCUAUCAAAAUUAUACAUGAUUUUUCCUGCUGACCCAGCAAUUCCACUUCUGGGAAUAAUUGACAGAUAUAGGUGCAUAUGUACAAAAUGAUGGAAAGCUCUCUGGUAUAUAUUAGUAAGUGAUAAAACAAGGUGUAAAAUAGUGUAUAUAUGGCUACUACCUUUUGUUUUAAAAAUGGGGGAAAAUGGUGGAGCUUGCGGUGAGCCGAGAUCGUGCCACUGCACUCCAGCCUGGGCGACAGAGCGAGACUCCGUCUCAAAAAAAAAACAGGGUGGGGUGGGGGGGAAAUAAUAGUACAUACUCAUAUUUACCUGUAUCUAUAUAAAACACACUAUCAAGGAUUCACAAGAAACUAAUACAAAUGAUCACCUUAUAGAUGGUAUGUAUUGGGGGAUACUGAGGUGAGCAGGGUAUAAGUGGGGCAAGACUUUUCAGUGUAAACUUCUUUUAAAUUUUAUUUUGAUUUUUGAAUAAUGUAAAUUAACUGUCAAAUAAUUAAAUUAAAAAUAACCAAUUUAUUAACAAAA